GCAGCCGCUGGAGACCCGUCCUCCCCUCCCCCCCUCCCCUAGCCCGGCUUGGGGGUCCCUUCCCCUCGGCUCUGCCCCCACCCCGGCGAGGGGCUUGUCCUUGCCACUAGCGCCCCCCGCCCCUUAUCGCUGGAUUUAUUUUGCGGGGUGGCGCGGGGCUGAGUCGGGCUUGAAUCCUGGCGCAAGGAAGUAUUCUCACAGUAAUGAGAAACAGUGAAGAAAGGAGCAAUGUAGCGGUAUCAUUUUAUCAUACUUUUGGACUGAUUUGCAAUAUAAUACAACAACACUCAAAGACAAAGAAACAGUGGUGUCCCAAUCUCAAAUGCCACCGAAAGAAGGGUUCGCAGCCUUCAGAGAAGCACACGUGGCCUCUGCAGUGAGCUACGAUGAGCAGCCUGCGGAGGCGUGAAAGGCAGAGAGCUUGACAGAGGAACCUGUUGGGCUGCUGGCUGGGAGAUGCCAAGGUAAGCAUCCCCCAGCCAGAGACUGCCUCUGGCACCCCAGCCCAUUCCUCCCCCAUCUGUCUGCUCCUCCUCCUGCACUCCUACUCCACCUAACCCAAACCCUCUGUAUCCCCACUCCUGCAGCCAUACUCCCUCCCAGACCCUGCACCUCAGUCUCCUACCCCUGGUCACAGGGCCCUCCUUCACUCAGACUCCCUCCCAGAACCCACACCCCUUAUUGCACCCCAAUACCUUACCUCAAAUUUCUUUCUGAACUCAACCUCCAUGCCAGAUCCCACAUCUCCAUUAAAAUCAUGGAAGAGUGUGGCCCUCAAUCACUUACCUAAUUCUUUGAGUGGUCCCACCAUCAAAAAUUAUUGCCCAUCCCCUGAGCUAGAGAGAUGCAGCCAAUCUACCUUUCUUUUGGAUCACAUGAGCAGCUAAGGUAGUGAAGAAGAAUGGAGAAUCUGUCUCAUUCUUCAGUGUAAAUAUUUGAGAAAAGUAAUUGAC